rnacentral:rRNA from 1 species
AUUGAACGCUGGCGGCAGGCCUAACACAUGCAAGUCGAGCGAGCGGCGGACGGGUGAGUAAUGUAUGGGGACUGGCCGAUAGAGGGGGGUAACUACUGGAAACGGUAGCUAAUACCGCAUACUAUCGGAUAACCCAUAUGGUAUUAGCUAGUAGGGGGGGUAAUGGCUCACCUAGGCGACGAUCCCUAGCUGGUCUGCGAGGAUGAUCAGCCACACUGGGACUGAUGCACUGCCCUGCUGCCUACGGAGGCAGCGGUGGUGAAUAGUGCCCUAUUGGCCAAAGCCCGAUGCAGCCAUGCCGCGUGGAUGAAGCAGGCCUUAGGGUUUUAAAGUACGUUCAUUCGUGAGGCGUUACCGACAGAAGAAGCACCGGCUAACUCCGUGCCAGCAGCCGCGGUAAUUC